rnacentral:rRNA from 1 species
UGGGGAAUAUUGGACAAUGGGCGAAAGCCUGAUCCAGCCAUGCCGCGUGUGUGAAGAAGGUCUUCGGAUUGUAAAGCACUUUAAGUUGGGAGGAAGGGCAGUUACCUAAUACGUAUCUGUUUUGACGUUACCGACAGAAUAAGCACCGGCUAACUCUGUGCCAGCAGCCGCGGUAAUACAGAGGGUGCAAGCGUUAAUCGGAAUUACUGGGCGUAAAGCGCGCGUAGGUGGUUUGUUAAGUUGGAUGUGAAAUCCCCGGGCUCAACCUGGGAACUGCAUUCAAAACUGACUAGGCUAGAGUAUGGUAGAGGGUGGUGGAAUUUCCUGUGUAGCGGUGAAAUGCGUAGAUAUAGGAAGGAACAC